rnacentral:rRNA from 1 species
GACGAAUGCUGGCUGCGUGCUUAACACAUGCAAGUCGAACGGUGAAGGAGGGCUUGUCCUCCGGAUCAGUGGCGAACGGGUGAGUAACACGUGGGCAACCUGCCCCUCACUCUGGGAUAACGCCGGGAAACCGGCGCUAAUACCGGAUACGACCAGGCGCGACAUCUCGCCUGGUGGAAAGAAUUUCGGUGAGGGAUGGGCCCGCGGCCUAUCAGCUUGUUGGUGGGGUAACGGCCCACCAAGGCGACGACGGGUAGCCGGCCUGAGAGGGCGACCGGCCACACUGGGACUGAGACACGGCCCAGACUCCUACGGGAGGCAGCAGUGGGGAAUAUUGCGCAAUGGGCGAAAGCCUGACGCAGCGACGCAGCGUGAGGGACGAAGGCCUUCGGGUUGUAAACCUCUUUCAGCGGGGACGAAGCGAAAGUGACGGUACCCGCAGAAGAAGCACCGGCUAACUACGUGCCAGCCGCCGCCGUAAUAC